UUGACUCCCACAUCAUAGUCUUUUCCGCUAAAUCCUCGAAAAAUUCCCACCCUUGAUCCUCAUCUUUUUCCAUGAAUUUACCUUGGCACAUAGACUCUAAUAACGCGGUGGUUUGACUAUCUAAGGCCUCGUAAACUAUCUUGCAAAGUCUCCAUUUUUCUAUUCCGUGGUGGGGGCAUUGUGAGAGAAGAUUUUAAAACGGUCAAAGAAAUCCAAAAGACUCAUUUCCUUUUGAUGGAAUUGAUUUAUUUCAUUUGUAAUUCGAGUAGUCUUAUGAUUUGGAAAAUACUUUUUAAGAAAAACCACCACAAACCCCUCCCACGUGGAAAUAGAAUUAACGGGAAGACUAUAUAACCAUUUUUUCGCAUUCUCUUUAAGCGCAAAAUUAAU
rnacentral:lncRNA from 1 species